CUACGGGUGGCUGCAGUCGCGAAAACUUUACAAUGCGCGCAAGCGUGAUAAGGGAAUUCCGAGUGCUUAGGUUUUUGACUUAGGCUUUUAACCAGAGCAAAAAUCUGGUAGAAUAAGUGGUGGGCAAGACCGGUGCCAGCCGCCGCGGUAACCCCGGCGCCACAAGUGGGAAUCACUAUUAUUGGGUCUAAAGCACCCGUAGCCGGCAAUGUAAAUGCCCUGUGAAAUAGUCAGGCUUAACCUGACUGCGUGCAGGGUAGACUGCAAUGCUUGAGACCGGGAGAGGUCAACAGUAUUCCUCGGGGAACGGUAAAAUGUUAUAAUCCGAGGAGGACUACCGAUGGCGAAGGCAGUUGGCCAGAACGGAUCUGACGGUCAGGGGUGAAAGCUAGGGUAGCGAUCGGGAUUAGAUACCCCUGUAGUC
rnacentral:rRNA from 1 species